ensembl:lncRNA
CUUAACCUUCUGUGUGUGUGUGUCACAAACACACAGCAGUCUUUGGCAGCCUGGUGAAGUCUAUGGACCCCUUCCCAAGAUAAUGCUUUUAAAUGCACAAAUUAAAAUGCACAGAAUUACAAAGGAAACCAAUGAUACUGAACAAGAUUAAUAAAAUUUUUUUUUAAAGUUCACAGACCCCAAGUUAAGAUUCCUGAUCUAGUCUAAUGCCUUCAUUUUAUAGAUGAAGAACUGAUACCCAGAGAUGUUGUAACUUUUUCCAGGUCACAUAGAUAUCUAGCAUAUUCAAAGCCCUGUGCUAGGGGCAUGGGAUGCAAAGAUAAAAUUAGACCCUAUAAUAGCAUAGCAUAACAUAGCAUAGCAUAGCAUAACAUAACAUAACAUAACAUAACAUAACAUAACAUAACAUAACAUAACAUAACAUAACAUAACAUAACAUAACAUGUGUGUGUGUCCCUGUCCUCAAGGAGUUUAUAAUCUGAUGUGAAGGAUAAAGCAUGUAGUUUAAUAUCUGUAAUACAUGGGAGAAUAUGAUUGGUGCACAAAUUCAGUUCUAUGCAAGACCUCCUUCCACCAUUCAGGAGAAUUGGCAACAGGAGAGGCAACCAAGAAGCUAUCUCUGCACCCUGGGGAGCAUGGUGGAAGUGGUAGAACUUGUUUUGAAAAGCAAACAUAAGAGAAGGGAGUGGAGACAACAUUCCUGAUGCUCCCAAAAAACCAGGGAAGGCGGCUGUGUUAAGAAUGCCUGACCGAUCAGCUGAUGCUCUCUUUAUCUCUGCUCUGAGCCUGACUGACAUCUCUGAACACUUUUGCAUCUACUCAGCCUGAAGUAUGUGACCUCAUUCUAUAAAUAUCAGCCCUUACUAGGCCCUGUUGUUCAAAUUAAAAAAAAAAUCCACUGAAUUCUUUUUAUUGUAUCUAAUCACAAAUAUAUACUCUUGAAUUGAAGAGAUUACUGUAUUUGCAUGAGAUUUAGUACCCCUUUUGUGAUGUCUAACACAUGUUAGAUCAUACUGGGCCUAGAACAGAAAAAAUUUUUUUUUAAAAAGCUCAUUCUUCCUCAAUAGAUCAGGCAGGGGCCACGUCUUAUUGAAAUUGUGGCUCUCCCACAGCCUAGAAUGAGACUCAGGAAGAAAAGAAUUCACUUUGGAAAGGUAUUGGCCUAAAAGAUGCAUCAUGUAUUUUAGCUCAUAAAUCUAUAUUUGUGAUAUAAAAUAAGAUCAUUUGAGUAUACAUGUGGGGGAAGUGGUGGUUGGUCUUUUUCUGUAAGUUGAUGUUGUUAAAUACUAGACUUUAAGAGGACAGAUAGAUCCCAAUGUUCAGAUUUUGCCCCUUCCUGGCCCUCCAUCUGCGUACCCCAUUUCAGGUUCAGUGGAGAUUGUUUUCCCUCCAUUCUCCUCUUACAUAUAGGCAAUACAGAAUAGUGGAGAGUCAGGAAUCCAGCUCCAGGAUUUCCUGUGACUGUGCAUAAGUGAUUUAUCUCAUCAGAUAACCAUCUAGAAAAUGACAAUAAUAAUACUUCCAUGAACAACCUCACAGGGCUGUUGUGAGGGAAGCACUUUGUAAAUCUGAAGGCAUUAUAGAAAUGUAUUUAUUAAUGUUAGGGGUUUUUGUACCACCAUAGACUACAACCUCCCCAAAGGCAGGGAUCAUGCUUUAUUGAAACUAUGCUUCUUCCAGUACCUACUACAGGGAUUUGUACAUACUAAGUGCUUAAUAAAUAUUUGUUAAAUGAAUGAACA